AUACGGAGGAUGCGAGCGUUAUCCGGAUUUAUUGGGUUUAAAGGGUGCGUAGGUGGUUUGAUAAGUCAGCGGUGAAAGUUUGCAGCUUAACUGUAAAAAUGCCGUUGAAACUGUCGGACUUGAGUGUAAAUGAGGUAGGCGGAAUGCGUGGUGUAGCGGUGAAAUGCAUAGAUAUCACGCAGAACUCCGAUUGCGAAGGCAGCUUACUAAGCUACAACUGACACUGAAGCACGAAAGCGUGGGGAUCAAACAGGAUUAGAUACCCUGGUAGUCCACGCAGUAAACGAUGAUUACUAGCUGUUUGCGAUACACAGUAAGCGGCACAGCGAAAGCGUUAAGUAAUCCACCUGGGGAGUACGCCGGCAACGGUGAAACUCAAAUGAAUUGACGGGG
rnacentral:rRNA from 1 species